rnacentral:rRNA from 1 species
UAGGGAAUCUUCCACAAUGGACGCAAGUCUGAUGGAGCAACGCCGCGUGAGUGAAGAAGGUUUUCGGAUCGUAAAGCUCUGUUGUUGGUGAAGAAGGAUAGAGGCAGUAACUGGUCUUUAUUUGACGGUAAUCAACCAGAAAGUCACGGCUAACUACGUGCCAGCAGCCGCGGUAAUACGUAGGUGGCAAGCGUUGUCCGGAUUUAUUGGGCGUAAAGCGAGCGCAGGCGGAAUGAUAAGUCUGAUGUGAAAGCCCACGGCUCAACCGUGGAACUGCAUCGGAAACUGUAAUUCUUGAGUGCAGAAGAGGAGAGUGGAAUUCCAUGUGUAGCGGUGGAAUGCGUAGAUAUAUGGAAGAACACCAGUGGCGAAGGCGGCGCUCUGGUCUGCAACUGACGCUGAGGCUCGAAAGCAUGGGUAGCGAACAGG